GACGAGUUAUAGUCUCGUGAGGGUUUCCAGUGAAGAUACCCACAAACUUCAAUAUUAAAAUAAAUCAUUUAUUGUCAUGAUUAAAAAAAAAAAUUCGAUUGAUCUAUGAAGUGAAAAUCAAAUUCCAAAUGCAUACUAGCUAAGAAUUUCAAAAACUCCUCUUUUUUUUGAAAUCUAAUUUAAGAUACAUAAAUGAUAAGAAUUUCAAAGCACACACGGUUUUAUUUACUAAAUCAGCCCAAAUUCUAGGUUAAUAUGCAAUCUAAGUUAAAGUUAUUAAGUUUCUAUUUAGG
rnacentral:lncRNA from 1 species